rnacentral:rRNA from 1 species
AUUGAACGCUGGCGGCAGGCCUAACACAUGCAAGUCGAGCGAUAACGGUCUUCGGACUUAUUAAAGCGGCGGACGGGUGAGUAACGCGUGGGAAUCUACCUAGUAGUGGGGGACAACAGUUGGAAACGACUGCUAAUACCGCAUACGCCCUACGGGGGAAAGGCCGGGAUCUUCGGACCGGUCGCUAUUGGAUGAGCCUGCGUAAGAUUAGCUUGUUGGUGGGGUAAUGGCCUACCAAGGCGACGAUCUUUAGCUGGUCUGAGAGGAUGAUCAGCCACACUGGAACUGAGACACGGUCCAG